CUUAAACUUGAAUGAUGAUUUUUUAGUAGGAAUCUCAUUGAGUCUAUAUGACUAUGAAAACAAUUUUACCACUGAAAUUAAA